GACGAACGCUGGCGGCGUGCUUAACACAUGCAAGUCGAGCGGAGCGGCGAACGGGUGAGUAACGCGUGAGUAACUGCCCCCCUCUCUGGGAUAACAGUUGGAAACGGCUGCUAAUACCGGGUAGUGGGGAUGGACUCGCGUCCUAUCAGCUUGUUGGUGGGGUAGUGGCCUACCAAGGCGAAGACGGGUAGCCGGCCUGAGAGGGCGACCGGCCAAAUUGGGCUGGGAUACGGCCCAAACUCCUACGGGAGGCAGCAGUUGGGAAUAUUGCACAAUGGGGGAAACCCUGAUGCAGCAACGCGCGUGCGGGAGGACGGCCUUCGGGUUGUAAACCGCUUUCAGCCAUGACGCUCUAUUCUCCGCAGAAGCACCGGCUAACUACGUGCCAGCAGCCGCGGUAAUAC
rnacentral:rRNA from 1 species